GACGAACGCUGGCGGCGUGCUUAACACAUGCAAGUCGAACGGAAAGGCCUGCUUUCCCUUGUGGAUUGCGGGUACUCGAGUGGCGAACGGGUGAGUAACACGUGAGUGAUCUGCCCCCAACUUGGGUAUAAGCCUGGGAAACUGGGUCUAAUUCCCGAUAGGACUGCAGGGUGGUGCCUGUGGUGGAAAACGAUUUUCUAGUGGUUGGGGAUGGGUUCGCGGCCUAUCAGCUUGUUGGUGGGGUAAUGGCCUACCAAGGCCGCGACGGGUAGCCGGCCUGAGAGGGUGGACGGCCACAUUGGGACUGAGACACGGCCCAGACGCCUACGGGAGGCAGCAGUGGGGAAUAUUGCACAAUGGGCGGAAGCCUGAUGCAGCGACGCCGCGUGGGGGAUGACGGCCUUCGGGUUGUAAACUCCUUUCGACCGCGAGGAAGCCACCUGGUUGGAAGGGUGGUGACGUUAGUGGUAGAAGAAGCACCGGCUAACUACGUG
rnacentral:rRNA from 1 species